rnacentral:misc_RNA from 1 species
AGUUCGAUCUGGCUCAGAUUGAACGCUGGCGGGAUGCUUUACACAUGCAAGUCGAGCAGCACGGACUUCGGUCUGGUGGCGAGUGGCGAACGGGUGAGUAAUGUAUCGGAACGUGCCUAGUAGCGGGGGAUAACCACAUAGAAAGCGUAGCUAAUGCCACAUACGCCCUUCGGGGAAAGCGGGGGACCUUCGGGCCUCGCACUAU